rnacentral:misc_RNA from 1 species
AUUACACUAAAUAUGCCACAUGUUAAUUUAAUAUUGGCUUCUUGUGUAUUAAGUCGAUACAACUGAUGCAUCAAAAAAUUUUCAACUUAAAAUAUAUAUUUUUGUGUCUUAAAUUUAUAAUGAACCGAUUCUAUGAGUUUUAAGUUUAUCUCUGACGUAUGCAUGCAGGUUUAUGUAACUAGUACCUGUGUUUGAUCUCCAGCAGUGACGACUAAUGCAUCUUUAUCUGGGCAAAAAGAUACCCAUCACAAAUAUGCAGGCACAGUGCAUGAGAGUAAUCGGUUCCCCUUAUCA